rnacentral:rRNA from 1 species
AACGUAGGAGACAAACGUUAUCCGGAGUUACUGGGCGUAAAGGGCGUGUAGGCGGUUAGUUAAGUCUGGCGUGAAAGCUCUCGGCUCAACCGGGAGAGGUCGUCGGAUACUGGCAAACUAGAGGACGGUAGAGGCGUGUGGAAUUCCGGGUGUAGUGGUGAAAUGCGUAGAGAUCCGGAGGAACACCAGUGGCGAAGGCGACACGCUGGGCCGUACCUGACGCUAAAGCGCGACAGCAUGGGGAGCGAACGGG